UCUCGAUUGGUCUAGUGGUCAGGAUACCUGCUUGUCAUUAUGUGUAUUCGAUUCAUUAGAAUUGUCUUACUAUGGAACAAGCCGCAGGUGGCCGGGGUUCGAUUCCCCGAUCGAGAG